rnacentral:lncRNA from 7 species
AAAGAAGUUUAAGGAAGGAGGAAAGGACCCAAUCCACAAUGACUGGCCAGAUUAGGCCCAUGUACAGCAGUGGAUGAGGACCAGGAGUGCUACAGACAGCGAGGAGAAGGCUGCUGGAGGAGUAGAUCCACUCACCCAUUCCGUCCCUCAGGUCUCCUCUCUGCUGAUGGCCCUGUCAGCAUGCCAUCAACAGAAAUGAGUGCCUCAACAGAAAUGGGUGCUUGGUUUGGGGAGGCACUUUGUGGGAGGACAACAACAGGGCACUGCCACUUAUAGGAGUUCAAACUUCCCACUGCAGCCAAAGCAGCAUGAUGGUCUUGGAGGAGGCUGCUGCUCUGCUUGGCUGAGGUGCUGACUUAUGGAAAUACAACUACCAGGGCAGCAGCGGGACCUCAGCCUGGCAGUGCCAUGCCCUGAGCAGCAAAGCAAGGCAGGAUCUUCAUCCCAACCAUGUCAUCUGAGGACUGAGAGUGUGUGUGUGUUGGAGGAAGGAGCACUGAGAAUUCAAGCUGAAAUGCUGCCUGUUUUGCACACUGUGAUCCAGGGACACGUAUAAGGGGAGAACCGUGGAAUGGAAGACUUCAGAAUACAUCCUAAAUCAUAGCUGGGUUGUAUAAGGGGCAAAGAGGUGCAAACAUAAAGUGCCACUGGCACCAGUCCCUGGUUCAGGUGCAUUUUUAAUGUGCUCUGCUGCUCUGAUCCCCAGUCCCAGCUCAGAAAGGGUUCAGAGGGCUGGAAGGUUUCAAGAGACAAAGGACACAGCCUCUGCAUGAGGAACAGCUAAGUGAAUGGGGAUUGUCAACCAGGGAAACAGCAAGGGCAAUACAGCAGGGGACUGUUCAAAUGCAAGGGGCCUGAUGGAGGAUGAGUGGAAAGGGAUGGACUGUUUUCCAUCCCUAUGAGGAAUGAGCAGGAACCAGAUGAUGCUGGGAGGAGCAAGAAAAACCAAAGAAGUUGGUUCUGUAUCAAACAGUAGAGGAAAUAUAAGGAGUUUACACAGAAAAUGAGCCAAGAUCACAGAAGAGGUACACCAAACACAAACUGGGUGUGGCAGUCCCAGAACUUCAACGCAUGGAAGUCUUGGGGGCUGAGGGAAUAUUUUUGGAUGUGCUUUCCUAUCUUUUAUAUUCAUAUAUUUCAGGCAUUUACCUUUGCUCUCUUCUUGGGUACAAGACUCUGAUCUGGGUGGACUUUUUCUGACUAAAACUGUUCCUAUAUGCUCUGUGUUUAAGGAAAUCACUGAUUCUCAUUGGAAAUCUGAUUCACAGACAAAAAAAAAAAAAAAUAAAAAAAUAAAAAAAGAAAGAAAGAAAGAAAGAAAUUACAGGG